AAUCAACGCUGGCGGCGUGCCUCAGACAUGCAAGUCGAACGAUUAAAGCUCUCUUCGGAGAGUGCAUAGAGUGGCGCACGGGUGAGUAACACGUAAGUAAUCUACCCUCGAGUGGGGAAUAACGUCCGGAAACGGACGCUAAUACCGCAUAAUGCAGCGGCACCGCAAGGUGACAGUUGUUAAAGAUUUAUCGCUUGAGGAGGAGCUUGCGGCAGAUUAGCUAGUUGGUAAGGUAAUGGCUUACCAAGGCUACGAUCUGUAACCGGUCUAAGAGGACGGUCGGUCACACUGACACUGAAUAACGGGUCAGACUCCUACGGGAGGCAGCAGUCGGGAAUUUUGGGCAAUGGGCGAAAGCCUGACCCAGCAACGCCGCGUGAAGGAUGAAGUAUUUCGGUAUGUAAACUUCGAAAGAAUAGGAAGAAUAAAUGACGGUACUAUUUAUAAGGUCCGGCUAACUACGUG
rnacentral:rRNA from 1 species